GUGCCUUUGUCAGCACAUGUACUAAAAUUGCAACCAUACAAAGAAGAUUAGCAUGGUCACUAAGUAAGGAUGACAUGCAAAUUCAUGAAGCAUUCUGUAUUUUU